rnacentral:rRNA from 1 species
UACGUAGGGGGCAAGCGUUGUCCGGAAUCAUUGGGCGUAAAGCGCGUGUAGGCGGCCCGAUAAGUCCGCUGUGAAAGUCCAGGGCUCAACCCUGGAAUGCCGGUGGAUACUGUCGGGCUCGAGUCCGGAAGAGGCGAGUGGAAUUCCUGGUGUAGCGGUGAAAUGCGCAGAUAUCAGGAAGAACACCAACGGCGAAGGCAGCUCGCUGGGACGGUACUGACGCUGAGACGCGAAAGCGUGGGGAGCGAACAGG